AUUGAACGCUGGCGGCAGGCCUAACACAUGCAAGUCGAGCGGCAGCGGGACCUUCGGGUCGCCGGCGAGCGGCGGACGGGUGAGGAACACGUAGGAACCUACCCUCGAGUGGGGGAUAACCAAGGGAAACUUUGGCUAAUACCGCAUGAUUUCGAGAGAGCAAAGCUGCCGCAAGGUGGCGCUCGAGGAGGGGCCUGCGUCCGAUUAGCUAGUUGGUGAGGUAAGAGCUCACCAAGGCGAUGAUCGGUAACUGGUCUGAGAGGACGACCAGUCACACUGGGACUGAGACACGGCCCAGACUCCUACGGGAGGCAGCAGUGGGGAAUAUUGGACAAUGGGGGCAACCCUGAUCCAGCGAUGCCGCGUGAGUGAAGAAGGCCUUCGGGUCGUAAAGCUCUUUAGGUUGGGAAGAAGAGUGAUGGAGGAAAUGCUAUCACUUUGACGGUACCGACAGAGUAAGCACCGGCAAACUCUGUGCCAGCAGCCGCAGUAACAC
rnacentral:rRNA from 1 species